CACGUAGGGGGCAAGCGUUGUCCGGAAUCACUGGGCGUAAAGCGCACGUAGGCGGAUUGCUAAGUCAGGGGUGAAAUCCUGGAGCUCAACUCCAGAACUGCCUUUGAUACUGGCGACCUUGAGUCCGGGAGAGGUGAGUGGAACUGCGAGUGUAGAGGUGAAAUUCGUAGAUAUUCGCAAGAACACCAGUGGCGAAGGCGGCUCACUGGCCCGGUACUGACGCUGAGGUGCGAAAGCGUGGGGAGCAAACAGG
rnacentral:rRNA from 1 species